GAUGGUGCCUGGAAAAAGGGUCAUAUGCUAGCUGGAGCUGAAAACCCUAUAAAGAAGGCUGAAGGCUCCACACAGACAACUAACAGACCCUCUGUGCAGCUCCCUGCUUUCUUUAGAUCCCUUUCUCUUCUGUCCUUGCAAAUUGGAGAUACUUGAACGGCGAUCUCCAUAUAGUGAGCAAGAUGUAUAAUCCUCCCAGUGCGCAGGACAUGUCCUACUACGGUCAUGUUCAGAAGCGCCAUGAGGAGAAGGGCUGCCUAUAUGCAUGCCUGUUCACAGCGUGCUGCUGCUUCUGCUGCUACGAGACCUGUGAGUGCUGCCUCGAGGCCAUCUGCUGCUGCUGCUAGUUCAGCUUAGACGGCAUGCAUGGGCAUCCAUCAUCGUGGAGAUGCUGCCUCAAUGCUAGCUGUCCCGUACACAAAUAAAAUGCUGUACUUAUAUGCACGUACACUAAAAAUGCAUUAGUGUCUGGAUGUGUAAUCGUGUUGUGUGUGCAUCUUUAUUUGCAUUUGAGAAUGCUUUGUGAAAUGCUGUAAAUCUGUUGUAUGCAUAUUGGUCAGAUGAAUUUAGUGUGACGCAUGUGUAUCAAACUGAAAUUACUGCACUAUUGAGAUGAUGAAGAUUUACCUUUU